rnacentral:rRNA from 1 species
UAGAGUUUGAUCAUGGCUCAGCGCGAACGCUGGCGGCAUGGCUAAAACAUGCAAGUCGAACGCGAAAGUGGAGCUUGCUCCGCGAGUAGAGUGGCGAAAGGGCGAGGAAUGCGUUUCUAACGUGCCCCAAGGUCAGGGAUAGUCCAGGGAAACUUGGAUUAAUACCUGAUGACCCUGCGACGCCGUAUGGCGAUGCAGGCAAAGGCUUGCUGCCUUGGGAGCGGGGAACGUGCUAUCAGGUUGUUGGUGAGGUAACGGCUCACCAAACCGAAGACGGCUAGCGGGUGUGAGAGCACGACCCGCCGCAUCGGGACUGAGACACUGCCCGGACUCCUACGGGAGGCUGCAGUAACGAAUAUUCCGCAAUGCGCGAAAGCGUGACGGAGCAAUGCCGCGUGCAGGAUGAAGCCCCUCGGGGUGUAAACUGCUGUCAGGGGAUAGGAACACAAUGACCAUCCCCAGAGGAAGGGCCGGCUAACUUCGUGCCAGCAGCCGCGGUAAUACGAAGGGCCCGAGCGUUGCGCGGUGUCAUUGGGCUUAAAGGGUGCGCAGGCGGACCCGAAAGUGCCUUGUGAAAGCCCUCGGCUUAACCGAGGAAUUGCUUGGUAGACUGCGGGUCUUGAGCUCGGCAGGGGCGGUCGGAACUCUAGGUGGAGCGGUGAAAUGCGUAGAUAUCUAGAGGAACGCCAAAGGUGAAGACAGACCGCUGGGCCGACGCUGACGCUCAGGCACGAAAGCGUGGGGAGCGAACGGGAUUAGAUACCCCGGUAGUCCACGCCGUAAACGAUGUGCACUAGAUGCUGGAGGUGCUGACACCAUCAGCGUCGAAGCAAAAGUGAUUAGUGCACCGCCUGGGGAGUACGGUCGCAAGGCUAAAACUCAAAGGAAUUGACGGGGGCUCACACAAGCGGUGGAGCAUGUGGCUUAAUUCGAGGCAACGCGAAGAACCUUAUCCUGGGUUUGACAUGCAGUGUUCAAUCGGUGAAAGCCGAUGGCCUUCGGGCGAACUGCACAGGUGCUGCAUGGCUGUCGUCAGCUCGUGCUGUGAAGCGUCGGGUUAAGUCCCUUAACGAGCGAAACCCCUGUCGCUAGUUGCUAACAGGUUAUGCUGAGGACUCUAGCGAGACUGCCGGUGUUAAACCGGAGGAAGGUGGGGACGACGUCAAGUCCUCAUGGCCUUUAUGCCCAGGGCUGCACACGUGCUACAAUGGCGUGUACAAAGCGAUGCAAUGUCGCAAGGCGGAGCAAAUCGCACAAAACACGCCCCAGUUCGGAUUGAGGUCUGCAACUCGACCUCAUGAAGCCGGAAUCGCUAGUAAUCGCGUAUCAGCUACGACGCGGUGAAUAUGUUCCUGAGCCUUGUAGACACCGCCCGU